AAAAAAAAAAAAAAAAAAAAAAAAAAAAGAAAACCCAUUCAAUGACGAUCGAUCGAUUACCAAAAUCUGCUCCAAAAUCGAUCGAUUGAAGGUUCAAAUUCCGCUCUCCAAAAAAACCCUAAAUCUACACAAAUUCCGGUCCAAUCGAUACUGAUGAUUGGAAGGGUUUCUUCGAGAUCUGAUUUCAGCCGUCAUCUGGUCACAUUCUUGAAGCCUUACACAUUGAUCCCGCAUCUGGUGUAUCUGUUGAUAGUGAAAGAAAUGCCAAAUUGUCAAAGCCACCCACGGGAUCUUCAUCAGGAUUAGCCAAGUUAAGCAAGCCUUCUGGUACGGAAUUCUUGCUAAACAGCAGGGAGAGAAAAAAGAAACACCCCAGGAGCGACUUAAGCGGAUUAUGAGCAAACAACUAAAUAAGCAGAUCAAGAAAGAUAUUGCUGCUGAAAUGGCUAAGAAACGAGAACAAGAGCGACAGAGGCUUGAGAAACUUGCAGAAACCAGCAGACUAAGUAGACGCAGGCACCGAAGCCGAAGCAGGAGUUUCAGCCGCUUGCCUCCAAGACGAUAUAGGCGCAGUAGAAGUCCAAGCAGGGGCAGAAGUUCUAGAAGAUAUCGUUCACGCUCUCGCUCCCGGUCCCGUUCUGUAACAUCUCUCCGGUCUUGUUCCAUAUCUCGCUGUCGCUGUGACAUCCAAAAUUAAGGGUGAAGUACUAAUAAGGCAAAGAAGUUAAUGGAAAACUAAUUAUCUCAUCAAUGAGCAGAGGAAGGUUGUUGGCUUUACGUGUCUCUGAGUUCGGUCUUGAAUUCUAUAUACUUUAGCGGUUGUAAACUUUUAUGGUUAAUUUUAGAAUUUUAAAAUUACUUGUGGUUGUAUGAAACACAUUGUUUUGAUAUAUAUGAAAUGCACUCUUUUGCUA